UGGCGGACGGGUGAGUAACGCGUGGAAAACCUGCCGUAUACUGGGGGAUAACACUUAGAAAUAGGUGCUAAUACCGCAUAAGCGCACAGCUCCGCAUGAAGCGGUGUGAAAAACUCUGGUGGUAUACGAUGGUUCCGCGUCUGAUUAGCUAGUUGGUGGGGUAAUGGCCUACCAAGGCAACGAUCAGUAGCCGGCCUGAGAGGGUGAACGGCCACAUUGGGACUGAGACACGGCCCAAACUCCUACGGGAGGCAGCAG
rnacentral:rRNA from 1 species